rnacentral:snRNA from 1 species
AACCUUGCGCAGUGGCAAUAUCGUAACCAAUGAAGGUCUCCUGAGGUGCGAUUAUUGUUAGUUGAAAACUCGAGACCU